AAUAUCCAGUUAUGUAUGUUAUAACAUGUACCGAUGUUAUUUCAAUACUGGUUCCAAUAUGUUGAUAAAAUUUUAAAUUGCGCACACAAGUUUCACAAUUUAAUUACAAAAACCAUCUCGUAUCAUCAAAUGUGACUUAUCAGACACUGCGCUCAUUUAAAAACGAUUUUGUCUCACAAAAUCGAAAGUAAUAUUAUGUAUUUCAUACUCGAAAAAUCAGGAAAAUGCUAGUAAGGACACUUUUACUACUAAGUAUCUCCUAUUUUGUUCUAUCCACAUCUAUAAUAUAUAAAGUAGAACCAGAUGAAUCGUCCUGUGUUUGCCACCAUGGAUAUAAUGUACAGAAGCAUCCAAAAGAUAAACGAUUUUAUUGCAAAGGUAUUUUACACGAAGGGAAAUCAGCUUGUGUGAAUUUGGAAAGACCAAGGUGUAAAUGUACCUUAAUUAAAGGGUUUAUAGUUCAGGAUUUAUACGGUUAUUGGUGUAUUAAAGUUAAACCUGGAUACGUGGAAGAAAUAAGAUGGGACUGCGAGAACAAAAAUGAUUGGGACGAAUUUUUUAAAUUGUAUCCCGAGGAAAGACCCAGCGCCGAUACUGAAGUGUAGCCAACUCGAAUUGAUAUAUAUAAAUUCAAUAAUUUAUUUCGUUCACACAUCAUUGUAAUAAAGAAAAA